GAGUGAUCGAAAGAUGAAAAGCACUUUGAAAAGAGAGUUAAACAGCACGUGAAAUUGUUGAAAGGGAAGCGCUUGCGACCAGACUCGGCCCCGGGGUUCAGCCAGCACUCGUGCUGGUGUACUUCCCCGGGGGCGGGCCAGCGUCGGUUUGGGCGGCCGGUCAAAGGCCCCAGGAAUGUGUCGCCCUCCGGGGCGUCUUAUAGCCUGGGGUGCAAUGCGGCCAGCCCGGACCGAGGAACGCGCUUCGGCACGGACGCUGGCGUAAUGGUCGCAAACGACCC
rnacentral:rRNA from 1 species